UUUUUUCUAUUUUCUGAUUUUCAUUUUUGUUCUUUUAUUUUCAUUAUUUCAUAUUAAUUUUAAUAUUGAUCCAAAAAAUAUGAGUUUCACCAAAAAACUUCCUCUUUCAUAUUUUGAAUUAAAAUUAUUUUUUGGAUCAUUAUUAAUAUUUUUCAUGAUUUUAUUGAUUUUGGGAUUAUUUUUAAUUGCUUAAAAAUACUUUUAAGUCGUUAAAUA
rnacentral:lncRNA from 1 species